GGUUUUUUCUUUUUGUAGGGCACGAACUUGUUGGAGCUGGAUGGGAGAGGGAGAUACUGCUGAGAGAGGGAGAAGGGGACUGAUAGAGACGUAGAUGGAGACGCUGGAGGGCUUCGAAGCUGUUAUAUAGCAAUACUACCCAUCUACCGUCUUCAAUAAAGCUACCAACAGGCUGCUCUGGAGCUUCAAUGGCAGCCUCAGCCUUCAAUUGCCGCGUUUGCCUUCAUUGCGUCUGAAUGCAGCUAGGCUUCCUUCAAUGCAACUGUGCAUCUCCCAAGACAUAUCAAAUUCGAAAAUUCGGACCGUUACCAGUAUCAAAGAUACAGGUAACUUGAAAAACGACUACUCUCCCUGUGACAUUUUCAGUUCUUUCUCCUAUAAGAAAGUCACAGGUUGAGAGAAUGUUAAUUGUGACUUUUCUCCCCCAAACACCAACUGCAAGAAUGUCACCCGUAACUUUGUUACAUUUUAGAGAAGUUACAGGCAUCCAAACGGCCCCUUAGAGCAGGUAGGUGGUCCUGCAACAAGCUACGUUUCCAUCUCCCUUUCCCAAAUUUAAAAAAAAGUAGCUGUUGACUGUAAGAAAGUAACCAGUGAGUGGAAAAACACCAUAUUCCUUUGUAACAUCUCUUGCUUCUUCACCUGAUACAAAGUCACAGGUUGAAACUUUGUCACCUGUAAGAUUUCUCCCCCGAAUACCAACAGUAAGAAAGUUACUUGUAACUUUCUUACAUUUUUCAGAAGUUACAGGCAAAAUGCCGAAGAGCAAAAUUAAAAAAGGGGAGCGACCGAGAUCCAAAUUGAUGAUGCAGAGUCCAUUUGAUUCUCCGCCGAAACGUAGAUCGGCACGCAGAUGCUCGGAUGGGAACCAAAAUGAUAAUGUGAAUGUAAGUUUUCCAGAGAAAUCUAGUGAGAUCGAAUUGAGAGGGGUUUCCAUGCGGAAACGGAAGCGAUCGAGAUCUGAAUUGAUGCUGGAGAGUCCACUCGAUUCUCCUGUGAAACGGGGAUCGCCUCGCAGAUCAACAAACAUGACCCGAGAUGGCGAUGCGGAUGCGAGCUUUUCUGAGAAAUUCAGUGAGAUUGGAUCUGGAGAGGUUUCCAUGCCGAAACGGAUGAAAUUGAAAUCUGUGAUGCCGGGGAGCCAGAUUGAUUCUCCAGGGAAAUGGAAAUCACCUCGUAGAUGCAUGAAUGGGAUCCAAAACGAGGAUAUGAAUGGGAGCAUGACUGGAUCAAGAGAAGUUUCCACACCAGAACAGAAGAAUUCAAGAUUCGCCGAAUCAAUGCUAGAGAGUCGGCACAAUUCUCCAGUGAAAAGGAGAUCACCUCGCAGAUGCACAAAUGGGCUCAUGAACAUGAGUUCUGCUGAUAAAUCCAUUGGAAGUGGGUCAAUAGAGGUAUUGACACCCAAAAAGAAGAAAUCAAUAUCUAAGUCGACGCCAGAGAGACCUGCGGUUUCUCCGGUGAAAUGGACAUCACCUCGCAGAUGCCCAAAUGGGGUCAUGAAUGUGAGUUCUAUUGAAAAAUCCAUCGAAAAUGGGUCAAUGGAGGUCUUAACACCCAAAAGGAAGAAAUCAAUAUCCAAGUCGACGCCAGAGAGACCGGCAGUUUCUCCGGCGAAAUGGACAUCACCUCGUAGAAUCACGAAUGGGACCCAAACCAGUGAUGCAAAUGGAAUUCUCAAAGAUUCUGAUAGUAGACUUGUGCAGUCGCCCAAAUCACCAAGGAGAAGACUGUUGGAUCAUUUCCCUCAGAAACCCAGGUGGAAUCCCAGAGAUUCUGCACAGAUGAAUGCAGUGAAGGAAGCUUUGCAUGUAUCCACGGCACCAUCUGGUGUUCUAUGCCGGGAAGAGGAGCAGAAAAGGGUGUUUGAGUUCUGCAAGGCAUGCAUUGAACAUGAGAAGGCAGGUAGUUCAUACAUAUGUGGAUGUCCAGGGACUGGGAAGACAUUGUCCAUGGAGAAAGUGAAGGAACAAUUGCUAGGAUGGGCAAAAGAGAGGGGAUUGCAACCACCAGAUGUAUUAGCUAUAAAUUGUACUUCGCUUACGGCCACUUCUGACAUUUUCAGCAAGAUAUUUGAAAGAUACCGCCCACGAAAGAAGAUAAAUGGAACUUGCUUGCCUCUUCAGCACUUGCAGAACUUGUUCUCUCAAAAGAAACAGGGAAGGAUGAUGUUGGUGUUUGUUGAUGAGAUGGACUAUUUAAUCACUAAAGAUCGGUCCGUGCUUCAUGAUCUUUUCAUGCUUACAACUUUUCCGUUCUCCACAUUCAUAUUAAUAGGAAUAGCAAAUGCAAUCGACCUUGCUGAUCGCUUUCUUCCGAAACUUCAGUCAUUGAAUUGCAAGCCCAUGGUUGUAACUUUUCGUGCUUACUCUAAGGAACAGAUUCUCAGAAUCCUUCAGCAGAGGCUUAUGGCUCUGGCGUAUGAUUCUUUCCAACCUCAAGCACUGGAGCUUUGUGCCAGAAAAGUAGCUGCUGCAUCCGGAGAUAUGAGAAAAGCACUCAGUGUCUGCAGGAGUGCAAUUGAGAUGCUAGAGGCUGACCUACGGGACCUGUCAGCAGGGAAGGCACCAUCUGCUCAGCUAGUAACUCCUGCAAGUGAAUUACUAACAAAACAAGAAAUGGACGUUGUAAGGGUGGAUCAUAUGGCUCUUGCUCUGUCAAAGACAUUCAAGUCAGUAAUAGUUGAUACUAUACAAUCUCUUCCGCAACACCAACAAAUAUUACUUUGCUCUGCUGUGAAGCUCUUUCGCAGGGCAAAGAAGGAUACAACCAUCGGAGAGCUGAAUAAAUCCUAUUCUGACAUCUGUAAGACUGCACUAGUUCCCCAGGCUAGCAUGUUGGAAUUCUCAAACAUGUGCAGAGUGCUUGGUGACCAGGGGCUUCUCAAACUUGGUCAAUCUCGGGAAGAGAAACUGAAGAGAGUGACAUUGAAGGUGGAUGAAGGCGACAUUACUUUCGCCUUGCAGGGGAUUCGCUUCUUUCGGAACUGCCUUCAAUAAUGCUGGUCAUGAGGACAGAUGAAAUCAUAUUUCCUUUCUUGGGUUUGACCGAACCUGCUAGUCAAGUGCCUACUGAAAAUUUGCUGUCAUCCCUCCAGUGGGGGCAUCACUUACAAGAUUCCAGUGUUUCAUGAGCUAAGCAUAUAGAACUUGAUUGUCAAUUCGUCAGAUGAAAAGUGAAAUUGGAGGGGGGAGAUGUGCAUCCAUCUUCUAAAAUUGGAACAUCAACUUGCUGACAUCUCCACUAAGGCCUGGAGGAGAGAGUGUCAAAGAUGGUUAACAAGCUACAUGCUAGACAUACAUUCUCUAGUUUGAGUGUGACUGCUGCGUCUCAUAUUCUUCUCUUGUCAUUUUCCCUAUUUAGUUUUAUCUUUUGUUCUUGCAUUUUAAAUCCACACUGGGGAUAUUGUAAACAAUUCUUUAUUGAAAGGAACAAAAGCUCUUUCAUCGGUCAAAAAAAAAAAAAAAAGAAAAAAAGAAAGAAAGAAAAAAAAAAAAAAGAGAAGAAAGAAAAGAAAAAAGAAAAAGAAAAGAAGAAGAGAGCUCUUAUGCCUCCAUCAGUGCCUAUUUCCAGAUUUUGCAUAACAAUAUACAUUUCAGUUUGCAAAACGCAGCAGUACUAGGUGUGUCCUCUAUGACUUUGCAUCUCAUGCCCAAAACACUCAAGAUUGUACUUCCAAAUAGGCCUGGGAAGACGUGAUCCCAGGUGGAUACUUGAAAUGUCCCCCCUCUUCCAGGUCUGUUACAAAAACCAAGAUUUGCUUUCCAAGUAUCAAAUGUGUGCCACGGGCAAAUAGAACAGCUUUCAGUAGUAUCAAUACAGUCAUAUGGAUUGUAAAUGCAUGAAUGUGGUGUACCAAAAAUUCUGCAGUUCAUAAUAGAAUAGCUAAGAAAGCGACUUUGCUGCCUAUUGCUAUUAAAUCACCACCCCCCAAGUCAAGCUGGUGCUUGUUGUUGCACCAGGUGCUAGAGCACGAGUAUUUUGUGAGCAGACAUGGGUUGUAAUUGUACACCAGUAUCUGAAAACAUUUCUCAGGAAUGCCCUAAACCACUCAUCGUAUCAUUAUGAAUACACAAACCAAAACUUUUUACGGAA